rnacentral:tRNA from 1 species
GGUAGCGUGGCCGAGCGGUCUAAGGCGCUGGUUUAAGGCACCAGUCCUCUUCGGAGGCGUGGGGUUCGAAUCCCACCGCUGCCA